GCUGGGAUAGCUCAGUUGGUAGAGCAUGAGGCCCUUAAUCUCAAGGUUGUGGGUUCAAGCCCCACGUUUGGCA
rnacentral:tRNA from 1 species